UACGAAGGGGGCUAGCGUUGCUCGGAAUGACUGGGCGUAAAGGGCGCGUAGGCGGUUUGGACAGUCAGGCGUGAAAUUCCCGGGCUUAACCUGGGGGCUGCGCUUGAUACAUCCAGGCUUGAGUGGGGAAGAGGGUCGUGGAAUUCCCAGUGUAGGAGGUAGAAUUCGUAGAUAUUGGGGAAGAACACCGGUGGCGAAGGCGGCGACCUGGUCCUUUACUGAGCUGAGGCGCGAAAGCGUGGGGAGCAAACAGG
rnacentral:rRNA from 1 species